CAAGAACUCCCUCCGUCCGAAAUUACUUGUCAUCAAAAUGGAUGUGUCUAGAACUAAAAUACAUCUAGAUACAUCCAUUUCAAUGACAAGUAUUUUCGGACGGAGGGAGUACAAG
rnacentral:pre_miRNA from 1 species